rnacentral:rRNA from 1 species
UACGUAGGGGGCUAGCGUUGUCCGGAUUUAUUGGGCGUAAAGAGCGUGUAGGCGGCCAAGUAGGUCCGUUGUGAAAACUGGAGGCUUAACCUCCAGCUGUCGAUGGAAACCAUUUGGCUAGAGUCCGGAAGAGGAGAGUGGAACUCCUGGUGUAGCGGUGAAAUGCGCAGAUAUCAGGAAGAACACCCGUGGCGAAGGCGGCUCUCUGGGACGGUACUGACGCUGAGACGCGAAAGCGUGGGGAGCAAACAGG